rnacentral:rRNA from 1 species
GACGAACGCUGGCGGCGUGCUUAACACAUGCAAGUCGAACGGAAAGGCCCUGCUUUUGUUGGGUGCUCGAGUGGCUAACGGGUGAGUAACACGUGAGAAACCUGCCCUUGACUUUGGGAUAACUUCAGGAAACUGGGGCUAAUACCGGAUAAGAGCUCCUGCUGCAUGGUGUGGGUUGGAAAGUUUCGGCGGGUUGGGAUGGACUCGCGGCUUAUCAGCUUGUUGGUGGGGUAGUGGCUUACCAAGGCUUUGGCGGGUCGCCGGCCUGGGAGGGUGACCGGCCACAGUGGGACUGAGGUGCGGGCCAGACUCCUACGGGAGGAAGCAGUGGAGAAUAUUGCAAGAUGGGCGGAAGCCUGAUGCAGCAACGCCGCGUGCGGGAUGACGGCCUUCGGGUUGUAAACCGCUUUCGCCUGUGACGAAGAGUGAGUGACGGUAAUGGGUAAAGAAGCACCGGCUAACUACGUG